rnacentral:lncRNA from 7 species
AGACCAGAUUCAUCCACCUCAGGGAUGUAUAUGUGAAUGUACAGGUGCCACCUCUGUCAGGGCACUUUGUGAGGAAAGGAGAAACACACAGGCUUUCUGAAUGCUUUAGCCUGUACCCAGCACCAUUUUCAGAAGGACUGGGUGGUGUCAGCACCAUCAGAGCUGAGCUGAUCCCAGCUAGCAGCACCCUGAGUGCAGCUCUGCUGCGGCCCAAGGAGAGCUCCCAGCCUUGUCAGACACAUGGACCACUACCCUGGGGCAGUGCUAGCAUUUCUCAAUGCCUGGGGACAGCAAGGUGCACUGGGCUGUUCCUGUUAUUAUCAGGAAGAAGAGAAACUACACAAGAUGUUUUCCACCCUUAAGGUUUUUCAGUCUCUGGUAUCCAAGUGACAACACCGGCCUCACCAGCUGUAUCUGUAAUGGAGUUCUAGUGAGAAAGGAGACAACAGAGAAGGCUGAGAUCCUGAUAUCAGAGAAGGGAUCUGCUCAAAUCCAGGUCGACAUGCUGUUGCCUCAUCUUUGUAGAGCUCUAGUGGCUGGCUGAUGCUCUGACUGAAACACAGUGCUGGUACUCAAGAGAAACUACAGCUUGAGUAUCUGACCAACUACUGAAUCAGUACAAAGUGAUCCCUAUGACUAGCCUGUUCCAAUUUGAGAAGAGCAAUCCCCAAGCAAAGCCACUCGGAAAUGUUGCAAGCUCCAAGGACCAGACUUCUCUACCAUGAAGUCCCAGUGAGCAGUUCCAUACCAUGGGAAAACAUACCGCAAUAAACUGAGGCACAAGGAACCGGUCUGAUGACUCCUAUGUUAGAUUUGACUAGCAGUUUGCUAUCAUCAGGAGGAAGACAAUGCAGUAAUUGGGACACUGCCUUGCAGACUGUGUCACCUUCCAAUAAAU